GUCUACGGCCAUACCAUCCUGAACGCGCCCGAUCUCAUCUGAUCUCGGAAGCUAAGCAGGGUCGGGCCUGGUUAGUACUUGGAUGGGAGAAAUUUGGUCUGAGCAGAAC
ensembl:rRNA 5S_rRNA 5S ribosomal RNA